rnacentral:rRNA from 1 species
AGUGAACGCUGGCGGUAGGCCUAACACAUGCAAGUCGAACGGCAGCACAGUAAGAGCUUGCUCUUACGGGUGGCGAGUGGCGGACGGGUGAGGAAUACAUCGGAAUCUACUUUUUCGUGGGGGAUAACGUAGGGAAACUUACGCUAAUACCGCAUACGACCUACGGGUGAAAGCAGGGGAUCUUCGGACCUUGCGCGAUUGAAUGAGCCGAUGUCGGAUUAGCUAGUUGGCGGGGUAAAGGCCCACCAAGGCGACGAUCCGUAGCUGGUCUGAGAGGAUGAUCAGCCACACUGGAACUGAGACACGGUCCAGACUCCUACGGGAGGCAGCAGUGGGGAAUAUUGGACAAUGGGCGCAAGCCUGGUCCAGCCAUACCGCGUGGGUGAAGAAGGCCUUCGGGUUGUAAAGCCCUUUUGUUGGGAAAGAAAAGCAGCAGGUUAAUACCCCGCUGUUCUGACGGUACCCAAAGAAUAAGUACCGGCUAACUUCGUG